UCAAUUUAAAAUCCAACAAAUAUAUGGAGGGUUAUUUCAUGCUGCUAUUUUAAUGAGGACCAAUGAAUCAUCCAAAUUCAUAUUUACAAUUUUGGGGCAACUCAUGGGAAUUAGUCAAUACUAAAAAGAAUGGUAGUAUAGCUCUCGGGAGAAAUUUCAUAUAACUCCAUUGCUGGUUCUUUGGUGUCAUAAUUUCAGCAUACAUGUGAAUAUUAAAUCAACCUCGCGUACCUAAAGAAAUUAGGAAAAACACUAAGGCUGGAGUGCGGCUCACGUGUCCUCGUCAGUUUCGGCAUGACCAAUGCAUCCUCGCCCAUUGUGGCGCGACCCCUACAUCCUUGGUGGCGGCCCUGGCACCCACAUCCAGCUGCAUCCAUGCUUGGGCCAUAAUGUCAAGCUCAAGAAUUUUGCACCAUGUCUUCUCCUUUGGCCCUACACCAACGUUUA
rnacentral:rRNA from 1 species